rnacentral:rRNA from 1 species
GCUUGUCUCAAAGAUUAAGCCAUGCAUGUCUAAGUAUAACUCUUUUACUUUGAAAACUGCGAACGGCUCAUUAUAUCAGUUAUAGUUUCUUUGAUAGUCCCUUACUACUUGGAUACCCGUAGUAAUUCUAGAGCUAAUACAUGCGAAAAGACGCGACUCACGAAGCGUUGUAUUUAUUAGAUACAAAACCAAUGCGGGGCAACCCGGUAUAAGGUGAUUCAUAAUAACUUUGCGAAUCGCAUGGCCUUGCGCCGGCGAUGAAUCAUUCAAAUUUCUGCCCUAUCAACUUUCGAUGGUAAGGUAUUGGCUUACCAUGGUCGCAACGGGUAACGGGGAAUAAGGGUUCGGUUCCGGAGAGGGAGCCUGAGAAAUGGCUACCACAUCCAAGGAAGGCAGCAGG